rnacentral:rRNA from 1 species
GACGAACCGUGCGAGCGUUGUUCGGAUUCACUGGGCUUAAAGGGCGCGUAGGCGGGCGGUCAAGUCAGGGGUGAAAUCUUUCGGCUCAACCGGAAAAGUGCCUUUGAUACUGGCCGUCUCGAGGGAGGUAGGGGCAUGCGGAACUUCCGGUGGAGCGGUGAAAUGCGUAGAUAUCGGAAGGAACGCCGGUGGCGAAAGCGGCGUGCUGGACCUCUUCUGACGCUGAGGCGCGAAAGCCAGGGGAGCGAACGGG